rnacentral:rRNA from 1 species
UAAUACAGAGGGUGCAAGCGUUGUUCGGAAUUAUUGGGCGUAAAGCGCGUGUAGGCGGUCCUGCAAGUCGGAUGUGAAAGCCCUCGGCUUAACCGAGGAAGUGCGUUCGAUACUACAGAACUUGAGUACCGGAGAGGGUGGCGGAAUUCCCGGUGUAGAGGUGAAAUUCGUAGAUAUCGGGAGGAACACCAGUGGCGAAGGCGGCCACCUGGACGGCUACUGACGCUGAGACGCGAAAGCGUGGGGAGCAAACAGG